rnacentral:tRNA from 1 species
GGACCGGUCGUCUAGUUUGGUUUGGAUGACGCACUCACACUGCGUAAGGGAACAAAAUUCUCCGCAAAGGUCGUGGGUUCAAAUCCCAUCCGGUCCA